rnacentral:rRNA from 1 species
UACGUAGGGGGCAAGCGUUGUCCGGAAUCAUUGGGCGUAAAGCGCGUGUAGGCGGCCCGGUAAGUCCGCUGUGAAAGUCGGGGGCUCAACCCUCGAAUGCCGGUGGAUACUGUCGGGCUAGAGUGCGGGAGAGGCGAGUGGAAUUCCUGGUGUAGCGGUGAAAUGCGCAGAUAUCAGGAGGAACACCCGUGGCGAAGGCGGCUCUCUGGGACGGUACUGACGCUGAGACGCGAAAGCGUGGGGAGCGAACAGG